rnacentral:rRNA from 1 species
UCCGGAGAGGGAGCCUGAGAAAUGGCUACCACAUCCAAGGAAGGCAGCAGGCGCGUAAAUUGCCCGAAUCCUGACACAGGGUGGUAGUGACAAGAAAUAACAAUACAGGGCUCUUUCGAGUCUUGUAAUUGGAAUGAGUACAAUUUACAUCUCUUCACGAGGAUCAAUUGGAGGGCAAGUCUGGUGCCAGCAGCCGCGGUAAUUCCAGCUCCAAUAGCGUAUAUUAAAGUUGUUGCAGUUAGAACGCUCGUAGUCGGAUUUCGGGGCGGGCCGACCGGUCUGCCGAUGGGUACGCACUGGUCGGCGCGUCCUUCCUUCCGGAGACCGUGCCUACUCUUAACUGAGCGGGGGCGGGAGACGGAACGUUUACUUUGAAAAAAUCAGAGUGUUUCAAGCAGGCAGCUCGCUCUUGCAUGGAUUAGCAUGGGAUAAUGAAAUAGGACUUUGGUGCUAUUUUGUUGGUUUCGAACACCGAAGUAAUGAUGAGAAGGGACAGUCAGGGGCACUCGUAUUCCGCCGAGAGAGGUGAAAUUCUCAGACCAGCGGAAGACGAACCACUGCGAAAGCAUUUGCCAGGGAUGUUUUCACUGAUCAAGAACGAAAGUUAGGGGAUCGAAGACGAUCAGAUACCGUCGUAGUCUUAACCAUAAACCAUGCCGACUAGGGAUUGGGGGAUGUUCACAUAUUGACUCCCUCAGCACCUUACGGGAAACUAAAGUCUUUGGGUUCCGGGGGGAGUAUGGUCGCAAGGCUGAAACUUAAAGGAAUUGACGGAAGGGCACCACCAGGAGUGGAGCCUGCGGCUUAAUUUGAC